AGACCCGAAACCCGGUGAUCUAGCCAUGGGCAGGUUGAAGGUUGGGUAACACUAACUGGAGGACCGAACCGACUAAUGUUGAAAAAUUAGCGGAUGACCUGUGGCUGGGGGUGAAAGGCCAAUCAAACCGGGAGAUAGCUGGUUCUCCCCGAAAGCUAUUUAGGUAGCGCCUCGUGAAUUCAUCUCCGGGGGUAGAGCACUGUUUCGGCUAGGGGGCCAUCCCGGCUUACCAACCCGAUGCAAACUGCGAAUACCGGAGAAUGUUAUCACGGGAGACACACGGCGGGUGCUAACGUCCGUCGUGAAGAGGGAAACAACCCAGACCGCCAGCUAAGGUCCCAAAGUCAUGGUUAAGUGGGAAACGAUGUGGGAAGGCCCAGACAGCCAGGAUGUUGGCUUAGAAGCAGCCAUCAUUUAAAGAAAGCGUAAUAGCUCACUGGUCGAGUCGGCCUGCGCGGAAGAUGUAACGGGGCUAAACCAUGCACCGAAGCUGCGGCAGCGAACGUAUCACUUAAAGCGAUUCAGCGGGUUACGAUUGACGGAGCGAAGCGACGUCAAAGCGUAUACAAAGUCGAGUCGGUUUAAGGAUACGUUCGUUGGGUAGGGGAGCGUUCUGUAAGCCUGCGAAGGUGGCCUGUGAGGGUUGCUGGAGGUAUCAGAAGUGCGAAUGCUGACAUAAGUAACGAUAAAGCGGGUGAAAAGCCCGCUCGCCGGAAGACCAAGGGUUCCUGUCCAACGUUAAUCGGGGCAGGGUGAGUCGACCCCUAAGGCGAGGCCGAAAG
rnacentral:rRNA from 1 species